AUACUCAGGAGAGUCUCUUUUCUUUUCCCAGGCUGAAUGAGCUGGAAGGUCUGGAAAAGAGCGCCGAAGGUGUAAGCGUUGUCGCUGAGCCGUUUUUAAAAUGAAAAGCGGAGCGAAAACGUGAGUCUCUCAGGCAAAAGGAUGGAGGUAUAA
rnacentral:ncRNA from 1 species